rnacentral:lncRNA from 1 species
AUGGCAUCUACUGAAAGAUCACCCAUGCCCUUGCUUCCAGAGUCAUCUUUCAGCUUCUACUCCACAAUAAGAGCUGAAUGGUGGAAGAAUCAGAUGUGCAGCAAGAAAUUCAAAAGGAGAGAGAUGAGUCAGGAGUCCAAGUAAUAUUCCUAUGUUAACCACGAAGGACAGAGAAAGUAAUGGAAUACCCCACUCUUAUUUACACCAGAAAGAAACCUUCAUGAGACAUUGCCUUAUGAAGGACUAUACCAAUUCUAACCAUUAGAUAAAGAAUUCAACACCAUUAGACUUCACUUCUCUCUGACAAAGAACAUUCCAGCUUUAAAUGAGAGAUCUUCCUAUCUGAAAUUAAUACACUUAAUUUUGUGACACUGACACUCUUAUCAAUCUGGACUAAUUAUUUUCUUUUGAC